CAAAAGAAGGACUUGACAGGCUCAGAAAAGUCAAAAAUAGUGAGAUAUCUUGCAGAGGGAUGCAGCACUCUUAAAAUUGCAAAGCUUCUGAAGCGUGAUCAUCGAACAAUCAAGCGUUUCAUUCAAAAUAGUCAACAGGGUCGCAAUAAGCGUGUGGAAAAACCAAGGCGCAAAAUAACUGCCCAUGAACUGAGAAAAGUCAAGCGUGCAGCUGCCACGAUGCCACUUGCCACCAGUUUGGCCAUAUUUCAGAGCUGCAACAUCACUGGAGUGCCCAAAAGCACAAGGUGUGCAAUACUCAGAGACAUGGCCAAGGUAAGAAAGGCUGAAAGACGACCACCACUGAACAAGACACACAAGCUGAAACGUCAAGACUGGGCCAAGAAAUAUCUCAAGA